AGGGGUGUGGGGAGCGGAGGGGCUGGGAAAGAGCCUCAGGGGCUGAACUCAGCAGCCUGGUUCCAGCGGUUUCCCGAGAAGCACACAUAUAUUUUGUUUUGAGACUCCCAUAUCUAAAACUGUCCCUCUACCCUUUUACUGGAUUAGUAUUUUGGCAGCACACAGAAUUCUAGGCUAAUUAUGUGUCAUCUGAUGAUUCUAAGCUACCAAAAUGAGUUCUGAUAAGGUGAUACAAGCUCAGUGAUACAGUUUUAGCUAAACUCCGAAAAUUUCUUUAAUGUACGUUCCAUCUUCCCAUAAGCACGGCGACCCCACAAGGAGAAAUUCAUUAUCCUUGUUCUAGAAGAGGCUUUCAUCAUUUUUUUUGCCACUACCUUUAAAAUCAGCACUUAGCUAUUCACCCCAAAUCUACCGAUUCCCACCCAUCCUUCACAUGGAUGCUGCAUUUAUGAACAAGUCUGGUCCAGCUACUUCCACAUUUCAACAGGACAAAUUCUAAACCAUCAGAGUAAUUUUCCAAUCAGAACAAAUACUAACAAGGAAGUGACACACAGCAGUCCGUCCUCUGCUUCCUAACAGGACUCUAUGAGAACAUGGUGAUGUCCUACCACAAAGAAAGCAACACCUGAUUAUCAAUAACUUCUCUGGUCCGGCCAAGGAUGAGCAAGGAACAAAGAGCUUUUAGAACAUUAAGCAUACAUCUAAAUUUAUUUGACCUGAGGAUCCAGCCUGGCCUCUCAAGAGCAGACGCUCACAUGAUAAAACGUGCUGGGAACUCACCAUGUACUCAGCAAAGGGAAGCAAAGGGGUAUUAAUCAAUGUUUUGAUUAAUUACACGUACAUAGAAUUUAAGACAAAGUAAAGGCUCUUCCAUCCCCGCAAGUCCCCAGAGAAAAUUUAUAACAGCAAAGUAUCAUCAUUACUAAAUUAGAGCGUGACCAGUCAUCAGGGCACCAAACACAGGCUAUACCGAUGCAAACCUCCUUUCGUUGAGGGUGACACACCCCAUGACAAAAUCCUGUGCCAAAGAGUGUGCUACAGUCUGGGACAGGAAUCCCAAAUUGGUUACUGCUCAUCACUGGUUGGUUCCUGGACACCUGCAGGACCUGUGGGCUCUGUCCCCACUCACCUUCUCUGUUCCCCAGCUGGCUGCAGGCAGACAGGACAAUCUCCGAUGCCCCUUCUGUUCACCCAGUCCUUUUGCUUUGUCACUACUCCUGGAGCUUUCUCUCAAACUUUCCCAGAAUUUACAGGGGAAUCUCUUCCAUAAAAAAAAAUAAAUUUGGCUCUCAGAAGGGAGCUCCAGCUUUCCCCAAACUGACAUUUUGGCACCAGAGAGGGGUGGUGGCUUCGUUUUUGUAGCCUGGUGACAAGCACAGGAGGUGAAUGAAUGGGCGAGUGAAUGCAGGCGCCAAUCACUCAGAUCAACCCACCGCAGAGAUCUCGCUCAUCUGAAUUCUCUUUCACAAGAUAAAAAGGUUAGUAAUUACUUUAGGACUGCAUCUGUUUUCUACUCUGAGACGUCAUUGAAAAGACCAAAAUAAGUUCAUGUGAAAUCUCUGAUUGGAAUCAAAGUACCGCCAUAAAGAUGCAGGCAGCCUGCUGCAUCUAGGGUAAUUGCGAGCAGCCUAACGACUAUUUUAAUCACUGCAUUUAGGCCCAGCUCUACUUCAGAGCCCUGGCUUCAUUUCCAUUUUAAAUGCGACAGUUUUCAGUCCUUGAUCGCUUUCCUAUCAGCAAUUUUUAGGCUACUACACUUAAAGGUUUGGAAUCUUAUUUUCCCAUUAGCCUACUGGUCUUGCCCAAGUCCACGCUGACUUGGGAAAAGUGACUGCCUGCCGUGAUGGAAGGGAAGUACUCAACCCGACAGACUCAGCCCUUUUUAAAAACUGGAAGCAGGGGUGAGUCAUGGAACUCCCUCUGCAGCAGCACCUCUAUCUUCCCAGCCCUGGGCUGGCGACAGGUGUGUGAGGGACUCCUCUGAUGGCUGUGGAUAGGGGAGGCUGGAAUUUCUGCCUUACGGAUUUUCCAGAUGUGCAUUUUUAGUUUAUAGAUGUGCCAUACUUUACAGAAGAAAUGUCUAUAAUAUCAAGAAUAAGGGCAUUUAUUUAUGAGUUGAAUUUUCAAGACUUCUACAAAUAGUUUUCUCCUAGAUCUGGAUAUUUAAUUGCAAGGCAGUAAAACAAUCUGAGAUUAAGAAAUUUAACUUUUGUUCAUCGUAGUCAUAAUAGUAGUAGUAAUUGCUAUCUCUUGGUCCUGUUUUAUUUUUGUUAAAAAUCUUAGAGGGGGAAAAAAAGUUGGCUGAAUGGACCAGCAGGUGAGAUGAAGAGUUGAUUGUCUUCAAACGUAAAAUAUCUCAAGCAAGAAAAGAAGAAAAAAGUCUCUUCAAUAAAUGUUGGCAAUAUUUUCGAGAUUUUUUUCUUUUUUUGGUGCAAGGACAGUAAAGGAAAACAAAGGGCACUCAACUAAUUAGAAGAUAAACUGUGAUUCUCCGAAGAAAACCAGCCCCCAUCUCAGGAAACUUCCAUAGGAGAGGACAUGACUCACCAGUCCAUUCCCAGGUCCAACCACUGUUUCUAAUGAAUGAACUGGCGCUAUUAUUUAAAAGGAUCAGAAUCUAUAGUGAGGUAGUAGAACAGAGUAUGGGGGCAGGGAACCUAAGGCCGAUUCACGCUGACUUCCUAGAACUAAAUCGAACGAAAACCCCAACUUUCCACACCUAAGUAACAAAAGGACCUGAGGCUGCUCCCUUUGCAACCCCCUCCCUGCCUUUUCUGCAAGGCAGAUGGAAAACUGAAAGUGCCUCCACCUGGUUGCUUUCUGCAACCAAUCAAUCAGACAUUUGCAUAGGAGUGUAACUUUGUAACUUUGCUUCAGCCUUUGAUUGGUUGCUUUCCACAACCAAUCAGACUGACCGUAGGCCAAAUCUUCAUUUGCAUAGAAGUGUAACCUUUGUAACCUCACUUCCACCUUGGAUUGGUUGCUUUCUGCAACAAAUCAGACUGACUGGGGGCCAUGACUUCAUUUGCAUGGGGUGUACACCAAAUGGCCAAUGGGAAACCUCUAGAGGAUAUUUAAACCCCAGAAAAUUCUGUUACUGGGUUCUUGAGCCCCUAU
rnacentral:lncRNA from 1 species